GACGAACGCUGGCGGCGUGCUUAACACAUGCAAGUCGAACGAAGUGGCGAACGGGUGAGUAACGCGUAAUCAACCUGCCCUUCAGCGGGGGACAACAGUUGGAAACGACUGCUAAUACCGCAUACUGAAGGAGGGGAUUGCGUCUGAUUAGGUAGUUGGAGGGGUAACGGCCCACCAAGGCGAUGAUCAGUAUCCGGUCUGGGAGGUGGAACGGCCAAAUUGGGACUGGGACACGGCCCAGACUCCUACGGGAGGCAGCAGGGGGGAAUCUUCCGCAAUGGACGAAAGUCUGACGGAGCAACGCCGCGGGAGGGAUGACGGCCUUCGGGUUGUAAAGCUCUGUUAAUCGGGACGCGGUACCGGAAUAGAAAGCCACGGCUAACUACGUGCCAGCCGCCGCGGUAAUUC
rnacentral:rRNA from 1 species